rnacentral:lncRNA from 1 species
CAUGAUUAAGUUUAUCUUCCCGUGCUCCACAUCCUCACUUCUUCUUAGGCCCUGCAAAUCAGAACAUAUGUGAAUACCACAUCCUGUAUCAAGCACCCAAGAGUUAGAAUAUGUUGAGUAAUUAGACAAUAUAGUGUAAAUACCUGCAUAGGUGGGUUUCACUUUCCCAUCCUUUAGAUCCUGCAAGUACUUAGGGCAGUUUCGCUUCCAGUGUGCCUUUUCAUGGCAAUAAAAGCAUUCAGCAUCCUUUGGAAUGGCAGAAGGAGUGACAGAACCGUUCUUAGUCUUGGAUGAGGAGCCUUCAAGAGACUUUCCCUUGGUACCCUUCGAAGGGUGCUUCCUCUUUUUCCCUUUGCCUUGCCCAAUAGCUAAAACAGGGGUAGAAGUUGGAGUAGGAGUAGUAGAGGUAACAACCGCUUUACCCUUAAGACCGGUUUCAGCGGUCUUCAAGAGUCCUUGAAGCUUGCUGAGGGUAACUUCCUCCUUGUUCAUAUGAUAUGUCAUUCGAAAAUGAUCAUAACAAGAAGGCAAGGAGUGCAAAAUGAUGUCAAUUGCUAACUCCUCGGGGAUGUUAACAUUCAGCUUCAGCAAACGGUCCACAUACCUUUGCAUCUUUUGCAUGUGGCCCGUGACGGAUUCACCGUCCUUCAUGCGGGUAGUUAUUAUGGAGGAGAUUAUUUCAUACCGCUCCUGACGAGCACUCUGAUGGUACCUUUCCAUCAAGUCUUGGUGCAUCUCAAAAGGGUAGAAAUCUUCAUAUGACUUUUGGAGCUCGGCUGUCAUCGUGGCCAUCAUGAUACAUGCCACCUUAGUAGCAUCUCUCUCAUGAGUCCUGAAUUCAGCGAUCUCCUCAGGAGUAGCAGUAGACUCAUCAAGUUCUUUUAACUCCUUAUCGAGGACAUAUUCCUUGUCCUCGUAACGAGUAACCAUCCUGAUGUUCCUAAUCCAAUCCAUGAAGUUGGAACCAUCAAAGAUGACCCUCCCACAAAGAUUCAUGAGAGAGAAAGAACCAGUUGGGUUAGAGCCUGAAGCAUUAGUGUUGGAAGACAUCUGAAAGAAGAAAGUAAGUUUAGAUUAGAUAUUUAGGAUCCUUAAUAAGACACCCAAAUGUAAUAUUAAGGCUAGGAUCCAAUCACAAUAUAUUACACUUAGAAGAGGGAUGCCGUAAUCUAAGUAAUAAUAUAUUUGAAAGGUAGGCGAAUGACGAUUCACCAAUUUCCACCAUGAAAACGAAAUGAUUAAUUAGGUUUAAUUGGAUUUGAAAUUCCUAGAUUCUUUUGAGAUUCAUUGAACUUUUCAAUGGCAUGUUUCAAUCUCGAUUGUGCCCUUCAAGUUUUGUGACUGGGAUGCCGAGGAUCACAAAACAAGGUGUGAAUAACCAUGCUAACUCACUUGGUACUCCUAAUAUUAUCACCUAAUCAAUGUGCCGGUUAACCACACACGCUCCAUUGAUCUAUGACAACAUUAAGUUACCCUUCGUGAUCCUUACUAGUCUAAUUAGUGUGCCGGUUAACCACACACGCUCCACUAACGACUUGGUAAGGUACAAAGUGUGAAUUCCAUGGAUUAGCACCAUGUUCACAUUUUCCUAAAAUAACUAAGAUUGGGAAUUAAAAGAGUUUAGUUAUUUUAUAAUAUUCAUUAUACUUUUAAUGAGGAUUUAAAGUCGUUGUUCUACCCGUUCGGCUAACGACCCUCCACCGAUCAAGCAAGCGGUGGGUGAGAGUAUACACCCAUUAAGUCGCCAUUUUAUAGGCAACAACCUUAUACCCACCUUAUAGACCGGCUUCGUGAAUGAGGCCUACUAACGGUAAAACGACUUAUUCUUAUACAUAUAUAUAAUAAUUAACCAUUAAUGUUAUAAAUAGUAUAAGGGUUGAAUUUUAACUAUUAAAACUCUAAGGUUUGGAAUUAAAGUUUAUUAAAGUGUGUGAAACUUUACAAAUUCCAAAACUUGAGGACAAGUUUUGUAACUUUGCAAAACUCUUCAUUUCAUAACUUAUGAAUUAAAGGUUCAUAAAAAUGAAGACUCUUCAUUUUCAUGUAACUUAUGUGUUUUAAGUGUGUGUUAAAUGAAAGUGACCUUUGGUAAUCCAUAACUUGAGGACAAAUUAUGGACUCCAUUAAAACACAUAAAUGAUUAAGAAUUAAUUCUAAACAAUUCAGCAAAUAAUUCCUAUCAUUUUCUAAAUUCAUAAGAACAUGAACAUGAUCAUCAAAAAUUCAAGAAUUAUAUGAACACAUAAAAUCAUGGAUUUUUGAUAUAUGCUAUUGUAAAUGGAUUAGAACAACCAUUACACCAACUAAAAUAAGUUUUACAACACCAAAACAAUUUAGGGUAAUGUUUCCAGUCCAUUUCCAGCAGCAAAAGUCGAGAUUCUGCAUUCUUUCGAUCCUACUCGCCGAGUGCACGAACGGACUCGUCGAGUAGGUUGAAGUUUGCCUUGGACUCGGCGAGUCCCCCCAAUGGACUCGGCGAGUCUAGCAUGCAGACAGCAACGAUUUCGACUUUUUUCACUAUUUUGCAUCAAGUAUCAAACAAGCAAGCCUAGGCUCUGAUACCACUGUUGGGUUUUGAGCAAUCUAACACUUCCUAAGUGUGCAUGCAACCCUAAUAAACCUUGGAUCUAUGUUUGUCUAAAUACAUGCAAAAUAAUAAUUUUCCAAGGUUUAUAACCUAUCUAACAUGGCAUGGGGAACAUUUCAACAUAAAAGAGUUAGAAGAGAUUACAUACCUUUGUUGUGUUGGGUUCUUAGGAGUUUGAGGGCCAAGCACCAAUAGUGUGAAUGCCUCAAAUGGAAUCACAAACACCACAAACUCUUGGAAAACUUUGAGAGAGUAUACACACUCUUGUAUUUUCGGCCACACACAUGCACACACACACUAGAACACUAGCUUUCUCUUAGGCUAUCUUAGGCUCUCUUUCAUGCUCCAUAAGCAUGCUUAUAUAGUAUGCAUGGUUAGGGUGAAACCCUAAUAACCCACGUCUUUUCCUAUUCCAAGGAUCCAUGGGUUAAAAGCUCCAUGGAUCAUCCAUGGCCUUCCACAUAAGCCUAGCCCAUUAACAAAUGAGUAUUAGCCCACACUAUAUAAAACAAAUAGCCCAUAAUUUAAUUAGUAUUCCUUUUAAUCUCUAAAUUAAUCCAUAAUUAAUUUAAGACUAAAACUAAUUAAAUAACGUAACUUCAUAUUAAUAUAUUAUAACUCAUAAUAUAUUAAUAAACAUAUGUGUAUAACUCUCAUAAAAUUAUCCAUAAUAGUUUGGAUGAGAUGCAACCCAAAUGGACCAUGCCGGUCGGGUCAAGUAUAUACCAAAUAAGUUAUGGACUUAGACACCUUAUCCAACAAUACAUCCAGGUAGUCUCGCACUACCGGAACAUCAUUAACCGCCGUCUUGCCCUUCUCCCGGGCAUCUACGACAUAUGCAAUAUAACCGGCGCAACCCUGCUGGAAAUAGCGCCUCGCUCUCGCUGCUGAACACAGAACUGGUCCGUGAUGUGGCCUCUCGCCCUGAAUCACUAACUCUCCCCCACUGGGGGUGCGAACCCUCAUUAACUGCAGCUCACAAUCUAUCACCGCCCCAUUGGGGCUCAGCCAAUCCAUGCCUACUAUGACUUUAUUCCCUCGCAUGGGAAUAGGGACCAAGUCCAUUGAAAACUGCUUAUCAAAUAACUGUAGAGAACAUCCUCUGUGUACUCUCGCGACCCUGACGGUCCUGUCAUCUGCUAUCUCAACCUUAAGUGGAAAAUACAGCUCCCCCGGAGCUCUACUAAACCUCUUGCUAAGCGCAAGUGAAACAAACGAUCGGGUAGCCCCCGAAUCGAACAAUACUAUAGCUGGAAUGUCGUUCACUGAGAACGACCCUAUACAAAACAUAUAGCCAUAAGUAACAAUCAAUAAUAAAAGCAGAGAUAAGGGAAAAAUACAUACAUGUAACCACAUCAGGAGUUGCUCGCGCCUCCUCUGCGGUCAACUGAAAAGCCCAUUCUCUUCGCCACCAGCGUCUCACCCCGGCCCUAACGGUCGUCUGUAAUCCUCAAAGUAGCAAGAGCAGGUGCUGACACCUUUCCUGCAACAGCUAAACUCGGACACUGGGACUUUUUUAUGUCCCCUCUGAUUGCACUGGAAGCAAAUCAGAUCUGUUGCCGCAAUGGCGGUAGUAGUGGCUGUACAAUCUCUGCUCAUAUGCCUAGUUCGACCGCACUUGUAGCAGCUGGAACUCCCUGCCUUGCACGCCCUGUUGUGCAAUCUCCCACACUUGCCCACCGACCGUGGCUCUGCUGACUCCUGGAUCUGUGAUCUGAAACCUUGGGCUUUUUGCCCGAACUCCCUGGACCCGAAGCCGCCUCCGAUUUCCUUUUUCUCUCCAUCUCAAGGUCAAUCUCUCUCUCUCUCUCUCUCUCUCUCGCCCUAACAAUCAUGUCAUCCAUCGUUUUACAGCUGGACCGACUCACAAACUGGCGGAUAUCACUUCGCAACAUCUCAUGAUAACGAGCCUUCUUCAUUUCCUCAUCAGUUGCGUACUGAGGAACGAGAAGUGCCCUCUCCCUGAACUUGGCGGUAAUCUCCGCCACUGUCUCUGUCGUCUGGGUGAGGUCCUGAAACUCCCUGGCUAUCUGCUACACCUCAAUAACCGAUGCAAACUCAGCCCUGAACCUGGUAGUAAAGUCAGCCCAGGUCAUGGCAUCCAAAGUUGUGUCAUCCCCGAUGACAUGUCUGAUCUCCUCCCACCAAUCCCGUGCCCUGUCCUUCAGAAGACAGGACGCCAAUCUGACCUUUCCCCCCUCGGGACAUCUGCUCGUGCGGAAAGCGUUGGCCACAUCAGCCAACCAUCUAGUACUCGAUAUGGGGUCCCGUACCCCAUGAUAAUCUGGAGCUCCACAAGCCCAGAACUCUCUGAACGUAAGCGUGCGUGACCCCAUCAUGGCCGCCACCUCAGCAUGAAAUGUGCCUAGCUUCUCCUCCAUCAACUCUAGUAUACCCUCCUUGAUCGAACCGAAAAUCAUUGGUGUCUGCUCAAGAAUGAUACGGGUCACCUCUGAAGUGAAAAACUCCCUAGUCUGCUCAUCCAACUGCCCGGCCACCGAGCCUGGUCUUGAUCCCACCCCAGCACCUGAACUGCUGGUCUAGAGCGUAAAACCACCAUUCUGGAAACACAUAACGAUAAACGUCAGAAACACUGAUAUAUCUCGAGGGAUCACUACUACUACAGGCCUUCCGGUCUCAUCUCAACCUUCCUCGAUUUAAGUACGGAUCCUCUGCUUCCAGUAGUAUGGGCCCCUACUACCUUCCACAUCUAUCCGUACUCUCCUCAAGGACCGCCUCGACUCCACCAAGCCACUACUACUCCUGAUGAUCUCUACUACUCUCAUCCUAGGCUUUCCCUAGAGAAACCUUUGACUCGACCCAAACCAGUCCUCAGCCGCUGAAGGCCUCCUUGUAAUGCCAAUUAGUCGCCACCUGAAUACCGUCACAUAUGAUGAGGCUUGGAUAAUCCUUCAAGUAAAAGACUCGUCCCUACAAUGGUUAGACUCAAACGAGAGUUGCGCAGUAGGUCCAAAUCCAGCACUCUGAGAUUAUUCAACCCUGGUCACAUGUGAUGUGAUGUAUUCACCUAACGGCUAACUCCCAUUACUCGGAGUACCACAAAGCACAUAGCAAGUAGCAUUUGGACACAGGAAACUACUCAAGCAAUUUUAUCCUCAUAACGAGAAACUGUACUGGCAUAUAAUGCUAAGCUCAUACUAUCAGGCAUAACCUAAACAGGCUAUCCUACUGCUGUCUAAUCAAUACUAGCAUGCAAUUCUCAUAAAGCUGAAACACAUAUAGCAGGUACAUAAGGCAUCCUCCUAGAUCCUUAGUCCUAUUCUAGCAUGUUGUUCUACUGUAACUGAAAUUGAUAAUCAUAACAUAAACUUGUAUGGGUAAUUUGGGAGUACUUACUUGAGCUCGGCUGGUCGCAUGCACAACACCCUUUUUGAUGGGUUUGAUCCAUAAGAACUUUCCUAUGUGCACAUGCAAACCCUAAUUGCUUGGAUCUAGGUUUCUCUAAUUGAGCAUGCAUUCUAUCCAAUACUUUCAAUACUAGAUCUAAGGUAAACAAUUGAUUCUAAUCAUAUGAAUUAAGUUCUAGAAUAAUACCUUGGAUUACUUGCUUGAUACUUCUUCUUCUUGGAGCUUAGAGUCACAAUUGUCACUCCUUUAAUGGCUUACAAACACCAACUAGCAAGAAGAUGAUUUGAGAGAGAGGGAGGAGGGUGAGAAAUUGGCCCUAGGGUUCCUUGCCUUGCAUGAGUGCCGAUUUCCCUCACCCUAGGGAUCUAUUUAUACUAUGGGAUACUAGGGUUUCACCUUUAACCCUAAUUGAAUAACUUAGGCCCUAAGCAAUCCAAGAUCCUUCUAGAUUUUAGGCUUGGACGAAUUUAAGGUUCCCAAACCCAAAAUUUCGUCCACCCCAUUAUCUAUAAGGAUACAUAGCCCAAAACACAACUAUCACACAUUUGACAGUUUAUGCCCCUUUAUUCAAUUAACCUCUUUAAGUCACCAAAUUAAUUCUAAAUUAAUAUAUGACUUAUAUUAAUCAAAUAAAAUUAUUAUUCCUUUAAUAUAUUAUUCUCAUAAUAUAUUAACAAUAAUAUUUCUUCUCUCUUAACAAAUCAUCCUGUCAAGUUGCUAUGGUGAAAGCAACCCAAAAGGACCAUGCACAACCGGGUCAAGUACUUACCAAAUAUAGUUACAGCCUUAGACACUAAUCCAACACUUUUCUCUUUUCAAAGUUCUUUUCUUUCUAAAAAUUCUUUUCACUUUUUCUAAAACUCUUUUCUUUUCUCAAAACUCCCUUUUUACAAAAACUGAUUUUUCUUUUUUUAAAAAUUCCUAUACCAAUUCCUUAGUUUGAGUUCAGACACACUCGAAAGUGUGCCCGAAUCCCUCAAACCAAGGCUCUGAUACCAACUUGUAACGACCCAAAAUACGACCCAAAAUUUUUUGUUUAAUCAUUACUAAAAUCAUUAGAUCAAUACCAUAAAAUAAAACCCAUGAGUCAAUGUAUCCAAAACCAUAACAAAGUAUCACAAGAAAACUGUAUCAAAUCAUAUCAAUGAAAAACUAAUCAACUCCCAGGACAAGAACUGUAGCUGUGGUGUGUGCGAUGCCAUCAUCCCGAGCUCUUCCCUUUACUUGCGGAAGUACCUGAAACCAAAACUGAAAACUGCAAGCAUGAAGCUUAGUGAGCUCCCCCAAACUACCACAUACCAUACAAUAACAUGUAACACAUACUGGGCCUUGCCCACUGUAUUGGACCGAAGUCCGGAAACUGAACCGGACCGAAGUACGGAACUAACCAGGGCCCUGCCCACUGCAUCAGACCGAAGCCCGGAAACUACAUCGGAUCGAAGUCCGGAACUAACAGGGCCUUGCCCUCUGCAUCGGACCGAAGUCCGGAAACUGCGUCAGACCGAAGUCCGGAACUAACUGCAUCGGACCGAAGUCCAGAACUGACUGAACAUAACAUUGCAUAAACAUAUCAACUAGCAUGAACACAUAUACGGCAUACUACAUCGGACCAGGGUCCGGAACACAUAACACAAAACAUGCUUGAAUCACAAAGACAUCAAGCAAUCUAACUACUGUAUCGAACCGAGGUACGGAACUACUGCUAACUAAACGGGCCGACAUUGUGGUCGUAGACCCGUUCCUUCUGGAAGGAAGACCCACCUCAUAGUCUAGCUGCUGAAUGAACUGCUCUGGAAUCUGUCUGUUGCGGCUCCGGUUUCAUCCCGACUACAAUUUCCAUAAGUACACUCAAUCAAUUACUGAUAACCAUACUGAGGGUAAAAUGACUAUUUUACCCCUAGUCAAAGUCAACCCUCUGGUCUAAGUCAACAUACAGUUGACCUGACUCGUCGAGUUGGGCCGCCAACUCGUCGAGUCCCUAUUCUCAUCUCUCAAUCUUGCCCGCUACUACUCGUCGAGUUGGGCAUAAACUCGACGAGUUCCUUUUCAAUACUAACAUUCAGUCAAUCUGCAUCUGACUCGCCGAGUUCUAUGAACAAAUCGUCGAGUUCUCCUUCAUCAUAUGAACACUCUGGCUGUGACUCGCCGAGUUGUAUGAACAACUCGCCGAGUCUGUUCUUGAGAUAUGAAGAUUGUCUUAGACUCGCCGAGUCAGGGCAUUGACUCGCCGAGGCUCUCCNCAUUGACUCGCCGAGUCUCUCCAUGAAUGAUUCUGAUCUCCGACUCACUGAGUCCAUCUACAACCCACUGGUUCCACUCAGCAUAACUCACAAAGAGAAACAUCAGGGACUCGCGACUCGACUCGCCGAGUCCGAAGAACGACUUGCCGAGUCGGUUGCAUGCAACUUCUAUACAGUCGAUUCUGCUCGAAUCCAGUGCAUCCAACUUAUAGAUCUAGGUUCCUAAGGCUUGAUUAACACGUAAAGUUUCCAACUUUACGUGUACAUAGGCAUCCAUAAAGGUUUAAAGGCUCAAAAUGCACUAAAAGGGGUAGAUCUAGGGUCCUCAUGCAAAAUGGUUCCAUAAAGGCAAUAUAUAUGAGCUUCUAGAUCUCCAAUCUUGGUAGAUCCGAAGGCUAUUCGACACCACAUGCUAUCCAUAACACUAUUAAGCCAAAAUGGCAAAAACAAGCUACUUAUGAGAUCUACUUGAAGAAGGAUAAGGGUUUGGGGCUAAUACCUCAAUGAAGACUGUGAUACCACCAAGAACUCAGAUCUACUUGCUUCUCCCUUGAUUCCUCCUCUUCUCUUCUCUUCUUCUAAUUCACCAAUGAAUCACAACUUCACAAAGUGAGGAAAAUCACACCAAAAUGAUAAGGGAGGCUAGGGUUUUCGUGUGAGGCUUUUCUGUGGGUGAGGGGGCUAAUGGAUGCCCAAAAGUUGUUUAAAUAGGGUACAAACCCGCGGAUUUAGGGUUUCUUCCAGACUGGCGGACUCGCCGAGUCCCGAAUAUGGACUCGUCGAGUUGCCUAACUACACGUGCUCGGGAACCCAUCUCUACUCGACGAGUCGGGCUACUGACUCGCUAAGUUCCUCUUAAAAAAAUAUUUGACUAAAACAAAAUUAAAUAGCAUACCAGAAUUGGGGCAUUACAUAAACUCAUGAAACAUUUUCUACAUGUUACCUUAUUAUAAUCCCCCAUCUUCUUGAUUAUGGUUGAUGAUUAAAAAAGUGCAUUGAAAUUAUGUCGUUGUUUACCGAUAGGAAAAUGACUUAUAAUGAUAAGUUUACUAAAAUUUAGAAAAUCAGUAAAAUCAACAUCAGGUGAUGGGAAACCUACUUUUAUGUAAUGAUAUGUAUUUUUUGAAAUGAUAUUUUUUUCAAUAAAUUAUAUAACGACAAAACUACAAAUUUGGUCCAUGUGGUAUUCAAAAAACUUUGGAUAGGGUCCAAAAAGUUUUCAAAUUGCAUGGAAUGUCCAAAAUCAAGGUUUUUCUGGGUAUUUGGUCCAAAAAAACUUAAAAUGACAAAUAUGCCAUUUUGAUUUCUUUUUUCCUUUUUCUAUAAGUAUUUUAAUGCUAUACUGAUUUAAAAAAAAAAAAAAAGAAUUUUCCACCCCCACCCCAACCGUACACACUCUCUCUCUCUAUCACCCUAUCUCUCUCUCUUUGACUCUUUCUAUCUCAUUUCACUGGUUACUCCACCAAUUUCUGAUGAACGUACAUACACAUGACAAUCUCUAUCACAAAAGAAAACCCACAAAAUCCAAUCUACAAUUGAUUUAUGUAUGUGUGUAUGUGUAGGUUUCAUUCUGGAAAAUUUUCCCCCCAUAAGAUCCAAAUCAAAAAGCUUUUUAUGCCUCUUUCUGAAACUGAAAUCGAAGUCAACACCCGCCUCCCAUCCCUCAUAUCUACUUCUCAUCUUACUCUGAACCAAAGGAGACUGAAUCGAUGUCGUCAUUGAAUCAUUUCAAGUGGGAGUUUUCAAAGGAUUUUGUUGUUGUUGUUGCUGCAGGUUGGUUCUUGAGAAAUCGAGUUUUCUGAUGAUUCUGAUUUCUUGGAUAUGUUGAGAAGGGCUAGAGUUUCAAAUUUAGGGACGUUGGUUGUUGGUGAUUAGGACAUAGCACUGGGGAGACAAGCUGAUUUGUGGGUUCCAUUAAAUAGGGUCAAGAAUGGCGAGAUUACAGAAUAGUAUUUGGUACUCAGAACCAGAAAUGAUUUCAUAUGAAUUUUUAUGUUCAUUCCCAGAAAUCUAGAGAGAUAGAGAGGCUACGGUCGGUUUAGGUGGGGUCGAGUGGGCGAUGGAUGCCGACAAUGGGAGAGGUGGCUAGAGAUUGGCAAGGUUGCUGGAGGUGGGUGAUGAUGGAUAUGGUCUGGUUUGUUCAUCUAGAAAUUGCAGGUGAAAUGUCAGGAGGAAGAAUGAGAUAGAAGAGAGAGAGAGAGAGAGAGAGAGAGAGAGAGAGAGAGUAAAAAAGGAAAGAGAAAGGGGAAGGGUACGAUGGAGAAGGAUAGGGGUGUAGUUUUACUUUUUAUUUUUUAAUAAUUAUUUAAAUUCUGAAAUAAAUAAAAAAUGUAAAAAAGAAAUAAUAAGGGUAAAAUGGUAUUUUCAUAUUUAUUUGGACCAAAACCAUAGAAAAGUUUUGAUUUUGGACCUUUCAUGCAAGUCAGAAACUUUUUGGACCCUAUCCAAAGUUUAUUGCAAACCACAAGGACUAAAUUUGCAGUUUUGUCUUAUAUAACAUUAAUGGUAAAAUGUGUACAAAAAAAUUUUAAUGGUAAAAUGUGUACAAAAAGCAGUUUAAUGGUAUAAUGUGUACAAAAAAUAGUUUAAUGGUAUAAUGUGUAUAUAAUAAACAGUAAAAUCCACGUCAGCAGCCACAUGGCAUGCCACGUGGCAUGCUACGUGGCUAAUGACCUAUUAUUAUCGGUAAUAUAAUGGUAUUUUUUGAACAAAUGUGAAGUUUAAUAGUCAUAUGUGUACAAAAGCUAUAGUUGAUUGGUGAUAUGUGUACAAAAAAAAGUUCAAUGGUAUUUUUUGUACAAGUCUAAUACUUUGUUACCCAUACAAGUCAUUUUCCCUAUCUUAAAAUAGACAAAACUGUAAGAUUGGUCAUAAAACUUUGGAUAGGGUCCAAAAAAUUCCCAACUUGUAUCGAAAGUCCAAAAUCAAAGUUUUUCUGGGUUUUUGGUCAUUGAGACACUUGAAAAGUCGAUUUUGCUCUUUUCGUUUCUUUUUUCUAUUUUCUUUAUUUACUUUGGUAUUUAAAUAAUUAAAAAUAAAAAAUAAAAAAUAAGUUCUCUCUCACACACACACACACACACACUCUCUCUCUCUCUCUCACGCACACACAAAAACACAGAUCGGUUUCUCUCUCAGUAAGCUGCAUUCCCCAACAAACUACUUGUCGGAACUACUCUCAAUACACCACUAUUAACCACAUUUCAAAAUGGGAAAGAACUCGAAAUUCUUCAAAUCACUCCUUGGAUUCCGGACCACUAAAGCCCCCGCCACCUAAUCUUCACGUUCAGAGCUUAAAAAGCCAAAGUGACGGUGGAGUUUUGCGAAUUUGCACAAAGAGAUUCCUCAGCGUGGACUCCGGGACACUUCCAAAAAAAUCCCUUUUUUUGGACCUCCGAUGUUAGAUCUGCGUGUUCUUGGGACUCCGAUUUUGCUCUGUAACUCAACUUUAGAUUUCAUCUUCUCCCAUAGAGUUGCCCCGACGAAUAGAAUUUGGUUCAAAACUCGAUUUCAGACGUUCAACCCUUUCAGAUCAAAAAUCGAUUAAAAAAAUGGGUUGGAGAUUUCAAGAAGAUGAUAGUGUUGUAUAUUUGGCCAUUGAUGUUCCUGAAUCGAGGUGGAGGUAAACAGAGACAAAGUUUUGUUGAGAAAUCGAUAUCUUGCCUUCAAUUUUCAUUUCGUUUUCAAGGUUUUGUUGAGAUAUAGGCUUUGUAGCGUUGCCUACCAUGGAGGUUAUCUUCGAAAUUGCAGAGCUAGGGUUUCCAGCGAUGGUGAAAUAGUAAUGGUUUUUAUGCGUCUUCUUUGUUUCCCAGUGCGAAAUAAAUGAACGUGAGGACGACAAGGCAAAGGUGUGGAUCGGAAGAGAGGAAGGUAUCGUACAACCAAUUACAAAGCAAAUCCGUGCCUGAGUCGGAUUCGAGAGAGGACGUGAGCGAAGAAGAUACAAUGGUGUUCUUGAAUGUAGAAAGAACAAAUAAAUGUGAGUGUUAUUGGUUGCUGACGAGAGAGAUAGAGAGGGAGAGGGGGGGUACGGUGGGUGGAGUUAGAGGGGUAGGGUGAUAUUUUUUUUAUUUUUUAUUAUUUUUUUAUUUUUUAAAUACUAAACACAAUAAAAAAUGGUAAAAAAGAAAUAAUAAGGGUAAAAUGGACAUUUCAAUAUUUUCAGGACCAAAACCAAAAAACCUUGAUUUUGGACCAUCAAUGCAAGUUGGAAACUUUUUGGAACCUAUCCAAAGUUUUUUAAAUACCACAGGUACCAAUUUUGCAGUUUUGUCCUUAAAAUAACUACUUUCUUUUGUAAAUAACUUUUUUAAUUAAUUUUUUAUUAAUAUUAUUUAACUUAUUUGAUUUAUUAUUAUUAUUAAAAAUAUUAUAAAUAGUAAUAAUAUAAAUAAUAUAAUAAAACAAAAUUUGUUUUUAUUAACCAUCACAUAUACAAAUAAUUUUGAGUAUUAUAAUAGUGAGGUGCAUUAUACUUAUUAUGAGGAACAUAAAUAUUAAGUUGAGCGCCCGAUCCAUAUAUACGCAAUAUACAAGGUUUUCUCUAUAGUUUUCUAAUAUAACUUUUUUUCUUUUACUAAAUGAUUUUUUUUGUAAAUAAUUUGCAUCGAAAGUUGUGAUACAAUUAUGAAAAAUGUAGUAGGAUACUUAGACUAGAAGGAGUGGGAGGGAUGGUUCCCUCACUUUUGGUGGGCCUUCCUUCCUCACUCUCCUUUCCCUCACCUAAAAGCCAAGGAGUGGGAGGAAAACCCUUCCCUCACUUUUUUUUUUAUUUAUUUUUUAUAAUUUUAAAAUUAAUAUCAAACAUAAAAUUUAAUUAAAAAUAAAAAGCAUUUCAUUAAGUAAAAUAAAAAUUACAUUAACCCUAAAAUUUAAAUAAGUAGAAAAAAAAAACCCNAAGUAGAAAAAAAACCCCCAAAAAAAAAUCAAACAAACUACAACAUAGUAAAAAUUAUUAAUUAAUAUCCUAAUAUUAUUUAAACCUAGAUACGUCACUCGGAAUCAUCGUCUUCAUCCUCGCCUACAUCAUCUGCAUCAUUCUCCCCAGCGUCACUCUCGUCGUCGGAAUCUUCACUCUCGACGAACAUAUCAGAAUCCUCGUCUGAUUCGUCAAACAAAUCAUCAUCGUAAGAUAACUCUUGCGGGGGCUGAACAUGAGCCAUAUAAAUGUGCUCCACCAAAUCAGCACGAAGGGCCUGAUGAAGAUCGCGAUUGUGUACUUCUCUUCUGUUCACCCUAUACUCUUGUUACCAACGGCNACGGCUACUCCUUCGACAUUUGGCAAAACUUCAUUUUCAUUAUAUCGGCAUAUCGCUCUUCCUUCGUCUUCAAGAAUCAUAUUAUGCAAUAUGAUACAUGCAUACAUUACGUGUCGUAACCUUUUCACCUCAUAUAACCUUGCCCCAUCCGUUAGUACUUGCCAACGUCUCUUAAGUACACCAAAUGCUCACUCCACAUCCUUUCUAGCUGACUCUUGCGCCUCUUUAAACUUUUUCCUUUUCGGGUCGUUAGGACAUGUAAACGAUUUCACAAAAACAGACAAAGGAGGAUAUAUACCGUCAGUAAGAGAGUAUUCAUGCUUAUAUGCUACCCCAUUUGCUUGAAAAGGUACAUUGUGUGACUUUCCAAGGUAGAUAUCGUUGAAUACAGGCGACUGGUCUAGCACGUUAAUGUCAUUGUUUGCACCAGCUGGACCAAAGAAUGCAUGUCAUAUCCAAAGAUCAUGUGAUGCGAUAGCCUCUAGAAUAAUCGUCGGCUCUUUGUGGUCGCCUCUCAUGUACUGACCACGCCAUGCGUUGGGGCAUAAUGCCCAACUCCAAUGCAUGCAAUCGAUACUACCUAGCAUUCCAGAGAAUCCAUGUUUGCCUUCAUGUACCGUAUACAAUUGGUGGAUAUCGUUGAUAGUUGGUUUGCGCAAAUAUCGUUGCCCGUAAACCAAACAGGUCGCUUUGCAGAACUUGUACACAUAGUCCCUCACGGUACGCUCUGACAUUCUAAAAUACUCGUCCCAUUUGUCUGCGCCCAUGCCGUAUGCUAGCUGACGAAUUGAAGCCGUGCAUUUUUGAAUGGGAGAGAAACCUUUUUUCCCCUUGCAUCCAUUUUCCAUUGGAAAUAUGGAAAACGGCAUUCCAAAUCGCCAACAAUACGUAAAAAUAGUUCAUUUCUCAUCCGGAACCGACGUCGAAAUUUUACAGCGUAGACGGCGUCAUCUGUAAAAUAAUCUUCUAUAAGACGAUCGUGUCCGGCUUCGUGAUUUCUACGUAACGGCGGCAUUCUUAGGUUAGGUCGUGGACGUGAUGUUUCACCAAGUCGGUUUUGAUAGUAUGCAACCGUUUUCGCCAUGACGGAACCGAUAAACUUAGUCUCCUCUACUGCCGUCGAAUCGGAUGAUGAAGAUGAUGACAUUUUGAGUAAUAUUUUUAAGAAAGAAAUAUAGAGAAAUAUAGAUUAUGGUUUAAAAAAUGAUAGAAUGUGUGAGUAUUUAUAGAUUAAGAAAAGGAAAGGAAAAAAGAAUAUAUAUAUAUAUAUAUAUAUAUAUAUAUAUAUAUAUAUAUAUACACACACACACACACACAUAGCACGUAAUUNNNNNNNNNNNNNNNNNNNNNNNNNNNNNNNNNNNNNNNNNNNNNNNNNNNNNNNNNNNNNNNNNNNNNNNNNNNNNNNNNNNNNNNNNNNNNNNNNNNNNNNNNNNNNNNNNNNNNNNNNNNNNNNNNNNNNNNNNNNNNNNNNNNNNNNNNNNNNNNNNNNNNNNNNNNNNNNNNNNNNNNNNNNNNNNNNNNNNNNNNNNNNNNNNNNNNNNNNNNNNNNNNNNNNNNNNNNNNNNNNNNNNNNNNNNNNNNNNNNNNNNNNNNNNNNNNNNNNNNNNNNNNNNNNNNNNNNNNNNNNNNNNNNNNNNNNNNNNNNNNNNNNNNNNUACAACAAAAUAUAUAUAUAUAUAUAUAUAUAUAUAUAUAUAUAUAUAUAUAUAUGAAAAAAAUUAAUAAUAAUAAUAAUAAUGAUAAUAAUAAACAAAAAACAAAAAAAAGGACCAAAAAAACAAUACUCUUUGUGAUGUGAUUGAUAUUGGGGGUUUGGAUGAUACAGUUAGUGUUGGGGGUACGUAUAGUAACACCUUAUUUACAUACAAGUAUAGCAUUACGACCACCAAGGUUGUUAUUGACUUGCAGUUCUAUCAAUGUUACAGCCACCAAGGCUACCAUCUUAAUUCGUUAACAACAUAUAAAGUAUAUCAUUACAGUCACCAAGGUUGUCAUUGAUUUGCCAUUCAUCUACGAUGAUAUUACGGCCACCAAGGCUACCACCAUACCCCAAAACAACAUACAAGUAUAGAAUUAGUUCAAUGAUGAUAUUAUGGCCACUAAGGCUAACAUCAUAAUCUGGUACAAACAUAUAAGUAUAACAUUAUGACCACUAAUGCUAACAUCAUAAUCGAUACUAACAUACAAGUAUAACAUUACGGCUACCAAGGCUGUCAUUGACUUUUAUUUCUCAAAGAUGGUAUUACGACCAACAAUGCUUCCACCAAUAUCAGGCAUGCAGACUCACAACACGAUAUCGUUCUUACCAACAUCCCAUCGGAGGCAUACAACCUCAUCAUACUGCCUUAUUGCUAACAAAACUAUAUCACUCUAGUCUAACACAUGUUUUCCACAAAACGGUACACCAACGUCCUACCUUACAACAGACAUACAAUUUCACAUAUAAUAGAAUAGGAAACCCCUUUCAUAUAGUUCAAUGAUCAUCAACUAAAUAAUCUGUAUAUAUAUUGCACAACAAUACUCCACUAUAUAACUUCUUUAUUUCGCAUAGCCAUUAACAACUUCGCCGACAUUCUACUACUCAUAACCACUACAACUAGAUUUAUCGUUUAAUCAAUAUAAUAUAACUUAUCUAUAAUUUAGUUGAACCAUCUCAUUGUUUCACAUAACAAUAACCCACUAUAAUAUUCAACCAUUUCGGUUCACCACAACUCUCAACCAUACAUAACCUUACAAGUUCCAAACCCAAACGUAAGAUUUCAUAAUAAUCAUAAUAUUGAAAUUAUCAUGCAAUACAAUAAUAAACACACAUAUGAAUAACAUAUAUCUAGAAGAAGGAUGCGAUUACUCACCUGGUCAAUCAGUGGGGCCUAAAUAUGAUUUUGGCAUCAAGCUUUGCUCUGAUUUCCAACUCAUCAUUUGUCCAGACCUAUUCAGACAAUAUAUCAAAUUCAUUAGAACUUACCUAAACUCACCAUUAUCAACCACAAUGAUCAGUUACCUGAUUCCCAACUAAACUCGAUCACCAUUCAUUAACAAACCAGUCAAGUUCCCAUAUAUAACCGCUAGAUGACUUAACCCCAUAAGCCGUUAGCCUAAUCGACAAUUAUGAUAAAUUAGGGUUUACAACCCUUAACCAAAUAGAUUAAGAUGUUCACUAUAAAUUCAUUAAUUAAAAAUUGGUCACUAAGUUGUAACAACACCAUACCACGACCUUUAUAACAUACUUGGGGUCUAACAACCCUUUAUAAUAUGCUACGUAAGUAUAAUUACGUAUCAACGAAUCAAGAGGAUAUUUUAGCUCGUAUGACAGUCGUACCCUCAUUAAUCGGUCUCACGGCCUCUGUCUCAACGCUAUAAUUGUUGUUCAACAAUUCUAAAUUUGUUCAGCCAAAGCACUGUUUCAACUAUUUAUACAAGACUGAUUACGUAAUCCGAGUUGCGACAUUAACAUAAUCAGGCCCCGACCAUGUGUAGCACCUCAAAAUCAGCCAUGUAGCUCAUUUCCUCACCACGUGUCUAUUCUCACACCGCAUGUCCCCUACUGUCACGACUCUUCAUCGCGUCGCGAUAUUAACAUACUCACGUCGUGACAUAGCAAUGUACUUUAAGUUAUAACAGUGUUGUGACACUCGUUUUGUUUUUAGUAAAUUAUAAUCUAAGAUAUAUUAAUAGUAUAAAAUAUAUAGGUGAAUGUGUUAGAAAUUAAGUAAUGUCGUAAUAAAAGAGUUUAAAUCAAAAGAGUAUUUUGGCCAUUUUGUGUAAUUCUUGAAUUUCUGGUAAAUUUUAUGAUUUUAUAAAAAAGAAAUGUUGUAGCAUAAACAUGUGCUAUAAGAUGAAUAAUUUAUGAGUGCAAAGGACUUAAUGCUACAUAAUGUUCAUCUUCACGGGGUGUAUCAUUGUGGUUAUCACUCAGAUAAAACAUAUACAAUAUUUCAUUGUUCACUUUGAAGGGAACAUUCUUAUGACAAGUAUUCUAUUGCUAACUAUUAACUUCUUACAAUUCAUAGGAUACAAAAGAUGUUUUAUCCUUUAGGAGAAAAGACGUGAAUGCCCUCGUCCUUUUGAGAGUAGCCUUUAAAAACUUAUACAGUCCUGGCCCAUGUAGCACACACAACAUUAUAAAACAAGUUCAUAGAGAUUAUGGAAAUAAAGAAUAUUUAUUUCCAUGCAAUAUUUGCUCAAGGAAAUUAUUAUUAUUAUUAUUUUAAUAUUUUCUAGUCCUAGGUGCACAGAAAGGAUGGCUGGCAACAUUGAGAAAUUGGGUGGAGCUCAAUACAUGUUUCUCGCUCACAAGUAUAAUGAUGAUGAGUUCAAGCAACAUUCGAUAAUUGUAAUAUUAUAUAAGCUAUUUAUUGACUUUUCUUCUUAAAAUUAGGGAUGCCACAUGAUUUGAGAUCACAAGAAGUGAUCUAAGCGAUUAGGUUGUAAAAGAAUUCUCCACUCCAAAGAAGUAUGAUAUUUCUGCUAUUUUGUCUUGUCAUUUGUUAGCUACCUAGUGGGCUUAUGUACCUGAUUUAUAUCAUCAUUAUAGUGUGAGCUAUAUAUUUCAGGGUGUUAACUUUUUAGUAGAUAAUUCUUGAUAUGUUUGUUUUCAUUAAAAAAAAGUGGUAAAUUUAUAAUUUUUGAUGCAUUUAAGGUAAAUGUAUCGACAAAAGAGGUGGACUAAAUAUCUACAGUCUGAAAAAAGAAAACUGUUAGAAAACUGUUUGUUUUUUUAACAUCUGCAAACUACUAAAAUAAACUAAAAUUUAAAUAAACUGAUUUUUUUAAACUACAAAGUGAUCUUUUAAUAUAUUUAUGACUUUGUUAUAAAUAAUUAACAAAUCUAAAUCAACGUUUAGUAUUAUUAUAUAAAAAGUGAAAAUAAAAAUGGUACAAAUCAACGUAUAUAUUUAAAAAAAAAACCAACAAUUUUGGUCGUAAAGUUAUGCCUAAACAUUGUAAUUAGGAAUCAAAGAAUUUGAUAUAUAAAUGAAUGAAAAUGAACUUCGAUUUUGUCAAUUAAAUCAAUUAAAAACAUGCACAAAUAUUUUUUCUAAAAAAUUGAUGAUGUUUUAUUAAAUAAUGUUUUAUAAAAUUUGGCACAAAAAAUAUAAAAAUAUAUUAUUAUUUUUUUCAUAUAUAUAUAUAUAUAUAUAUAUAUAUAUAUAUAUAUAACUGUAAAAAAAAAAAAUANUGACGACUAUUAUUGUAAUAAAUUUUUAUUUAUAAAUUUGUCAAAAAUAUCAUGUUUGUGUCGUCGAACUUUUUUUUUUAAGUAUUGUAACUUUUUUUUUUCAAAUUGUUUAUCACUAAUAAAGUUGGAAUAAAUAUAAAUUCAAAAAAGAUAAAAAUAAAGUAUAUGUGUUUUUUUAGGCUAGAAGAUGUCUGAAGAUGUUAAAAGACUUUGGUUCACAUCUGCGCCAAGAAAAGGGCGCACAAACAUUUUUAGGUCUGCAGUUUUCAAAUAAACAAACAGUCUACGAAAGAUAAUGUAUGUGCGUGGUCUGCGCCGCGCAGACUGAAAAGGCCAAAAAGAUCUGCGGACAAAAAACAAACACUACCUUAAUGAUACCACCUUAAUGAUGACAUUCAAUUUAUACACACACCAGGACACACAAAAGUAGGGGUGAGCAAAAACCGCACCGCAACUAAAAUUAACCGCAAAAACCGCAACCGCAAUANCCGCAAUAAAAACCGAUAGUGAGGUUUUCUGUUUUUCAAAAACCGCAAAUUUGCGGUGCGGUGCGGUUAUUAGUUUCCAAAAACCGCAAAAAAACCGCACCGCACCGCAUAUAUUAUAUACAAUUUUUUUUUAUCAAUUAUUAGUUUAUUAAAUAUUAAAAAUAAGACAAGUUUCAUGAAUGAGAGACAAAUAAAAUAGUAGAAAACAAAAAUGUUGGUUUUUUUUAUGUUUAACUUUGAAAAUAAUGAAAUUAGAUAAUUUUAAGAUACUUAUUGUUAAUUACUAAUGAUUUGACGUUUUUAAGAUAUUAGUUGUUUGUGGUUUAAGUUAAAUAGUUAAUUGUCUUAUACCUUAUGUUUUUUUUUAUUAUUACAAGUAAUAUGUUUGAACUUUUAAAACUAUUUGAGCUCUAAACUAGGAUUAAAAACCACACAAAUUAAUCGCAACAAAUCCAUGCGGUUAAUAACCGCAACACAGAAAAAACAAAACCGCACCGCAAAAAUAACCGCCUAACCGCACCGCAAAAAUAACCGCACUAUACGGUUUUGAAAAUGGAUUAACCGCAUUUGCGGUUAGUGGUGAGGUUUUGGCUAAUAACCGCACCGAACUGCACCGCGCUCAACCCUACACAAAAGUGAGUAGACAACCGAUUAUUUGAUUAUUACAACUUUGAUUAUUACAACCGAUUAUAAUUAUUUUGUAUUAAAUAGUCACUUUCAGAACGCACAUCCAAAUAAUAUGUUUUAUAAACAAUUGAUAAUUUAUAUGGACAAGAUCAGUCUGCUUGUUUUACAAGCCCUUAAAGGUUUGGCAAUGGAGGAAUCUAAGCUGACAGUUUAUGAGAUAUUUAACUUUUAUUCAGUUAUAACGCAUUUGAUCUCUAUAAUUUUGACAAAAUAAAAUUUAUCUAGUUAUAUUAAAAAAGUUAAUUAUUGAUUUUAUACACUAAGUUAUCAACAUUCUAUAAGGGAAUCUCAAACCCAACACUAAACUAAUAGCAUUUUUUGCACCACUUUGCUUGAACCAACACCAUUUUUUGCAUCAUUUUGGGGUACAUGAUUAUUAAUAUACUAUUAAAUUUGAUGUUAUACCAUUUUUUGCAUCAUUUUUGUGUACAAGAUUAUUAAUAUAAAAUUAAAUUUGGUGUUACAUCAACUUUCAUAUGUCAAUAUUGGUGUAGUACAAAUUAUUGGUGUUAUGUGUUGCAAAUGUCUAAAGAAAGAAAGCUUAUAACCUAAAAUAAAAAGGUUAAUUACAUAAAGACCCUAUAUAUUUAUUGGGUUUUUUUUUACAGAUUAAACUUUAUUUUUUCCUGAAAAAUCCUUUACAUUGUUUCAUUUUUUCGGUAUGAUCUUUUACUUUUUAGUAUGUUUAUUGGUAAUCUUCUGGUUUUAUACAAAGAUGUAAAGGUUAUUUUUUAGAAAAAAAAAAUAAGUUAAUGUUUAAUCCAAAAAACAUUGGUAAUCUUCUGGUUUUAUACAAAGAUGUAAAGGUUAUUUUUUAGAAAAAAAAAAAAUAAAGUUAAUGUUUAAUCCAAAAAAAUGAAAAGAUGUAAGGGCUAAAUCAAAAAAAUGGAAAAACAUAAGGACCAAGUUAGAAGGCUUUUUCGAAAAAAAAAAAAAAAAAAAAAAAAAAACGAAGUUGAAUUUUUAGAAGGCUUUUUAUUGAAAGUCCUGGAUUUUGUUCCUUCUUUCAAAUUUAAAGUUUUUCGUCCCUUAAAAAAUAUUUUCCUUUUCGUCCCUUGAAUUAAAACUGUCAGUUUUUUUCCUACCUAAUAUAAAAAUGAACAUUAAUAACUAAUUUCAUACUUCAUAAAGAUACAACAUUGUUUGGAGAAGUAAUCAUUAAAAUAUAAAACUUGUAUGCCAUAUUUUAUUUCCAAUUUUCAGUGGUUAUAGUGUUAUACAGUUUGGAUAGUGUUGCUAUGUUGCUUGAGGUAGAAUUCGAGUGGAUAUUACCAAGUACAUACUUUUGUCCCACCCAAAAAGAUGGGAUAAAGACUUGUUUUUGUCAAAAGGUGUUAAUGCCCUCAUCUUCACUUUCAAAAAUAAACUUAGAAUCAUGUAUCGUGUAAGUUGUAACAAACAUCAAAAAUAACAACAAAAAGUUAUGUUUGUUACAUAGGACAUGAUUAAAUAAAUGAGUGUAUCAGUAAAAGAUUGCUUUAAUGUUGUGGAUAGGGCAUGGAAGGAGAAAAUAUCAAAGGGAACUUGAAUACAACAUGUUGUAGUGUGUUGAACACCCCAACUUUAUUAUAAUUAACUUUUUUUUAAGUAGUAGUUACAAAAAGGAUUAAAAAGUCAAUGUCCGUAUGUACAUAAAUGUUAAACAAAAAAUUAACACAAACUAUUUUUUAGUAUAUGAUUAUUGAAAUUCAAAUUGCAAACCCCAUCGACAAAAUUACAUACCAAACCAACGGAGACACGAAAUUGAAUUAUUCGAGUUCAAAUGCCAAUUUCUUUGAUUGAAUUUCUUCGAUUUAAAAUUGUUUGACAAAAUUCCGGCGUAAUAGAAGCAAAUAAAAUCAUCAGUGAUUUAGUGAUCAGAAAUAAUACAAUAAAAUCAAAUAAGAUAAUUAAAAAAAGAUCAAAAAACAGUCUUGACAUAAAACAGUUAAAGUCGAGGAAAAAAGCGAUAAAAAAAAAAAAAAAAAAAAAANGGGAAAAAAAAAGAAAAAAAAAAAAAAAAAAAAAAAAAACGAAUUAAAAAAUGCAACAAAAAAAACGAAUUAAUAAAAUUAUACGCAGUGAAUCAACGACCUUUUUCACAAAGUUUGAAGUGUGUGUAUGUCUAAGAAGAAUAUACGAGGCUCAGAUCUGUUUUACCUUCGGAACAAGAAGAUUAAACCGCCAUGGCUGCAAAUACAGAGGUUGCAUUCUCACAAUCGCCGUCCUCCGAUUAUAUGCCCUGCCAAGCUGCGGAUAAUCUCAAAUCAUGUCCCGAUUUUGAAUCAGAUCACGUUUAAUCAUCAUAGCCUCAUAUUUGUGGACAAUAAUUUUGGACGGAAGGAGUAUAAUAUGAAGAAAAGAUAGGAGGAUAUUUAAUUUCUCUAUAUCUAUAUAUAUAUAUAUCAGCAAAAGCUGUACCAGAGGGUUGUUGGAGCUUUAAAGAAUGACAAUGGAAAUCAUCGGCGUCGAGAGGCGGCAACCGCCCUUGGAAACCCUUCUUCCUCUCACAGCCUCAUUCUUUGAGCCGUAAAACAGAAAUCCCUAGCUUUCAUCCGGUUACUAUAUAGUCUAUAAAGUUAUAUUAAGGCCAUCGAUUUGGGUUACCAAUUGGAUCUUUGGAUCUACUUUAAUUUGUCAUUUAU